AGAGUUUGAUUAUGGCUCAGGAUGAACGCUAGCUACAGGCUUAACACAUGCAAGUCGAGGGGCAGCAUGUGGUUGCUUGCAACCAAUGAUGGCGACCGGCGCACGGGUGAGUAACGCGUAUCCAACCUUCCCUAUAGUAGAGGAUAGCCCGGCGAAAGUCGGAUUAAUACUCUAUGUUUUCCAAUGCAGACAUCUAAGUUGGAACAAAGGUUCACCGCUAUAGGAUGGGGGAUGCGUCUGAUUAGAUAGUCGGCGGGGUAACGGCCCACCGAGUCGACGAUCAGUAGGGGUUCUGAGAGGAAGGUCCCCCACAUUGGAACUGAGACACGGUCCAAACUCCUACGGGAGGCAGCAGUGAGGAAUAUUGGUCAAUGGGCGAGAGCCUGAACCAGCCAAGUAGCGUGCAGGAUGACGGCCCUAUGGGUUGUAAACUGCUUUUAUACAGGGAUAAAGUGACGUACGUGUACGUUUUGUAGGUACUGUAUGAAUAAGGACCGGCUAAUUCCGUGCCAGCCGCCGC
rnacentral:rRNA from 1 species